rnacentral:rRNA from 1 species
AGAGUUUGAUCAUGGCUCAGGAUGAACGCUAGCGGCAGGCCUAAUACAUGCAAGCCGAACGGUAAGUUGAGUAGCAAUACUUGACCUAGAGUGGCGUACGGGUGCGUAACACGUAUGUAACCUACCCUUUACAGGAGUAUAGCUCGGGGAAACUCGGAUUAAUCCUCCAUAAGAUGACAGACCGGCAUCGGUCAGUCAUAAAAGUUCCAACGGUAAAGGAUGGACAUGCGCAUGAUUAGCUAGUUGGAGGUGUAACGGACCCCCAAGGCGAUGAUCAUUAGGGGAACUGAGAGGUUGAUCCCCCACACUGGCACUGAGAUACGGGCCAGACUCCUACGGGAGGCAGCAGUAGGGAAUAUUGGUCAAUGGGUGAGAGCCUGAACCAGCCAUGCCGCGUGCAGGAAGACGGCCUUCUGGGUUGUAAACUGCUUUUACCAGGGGAUAAAAUAGCUCUGCGGAGCCAAUUGAAGGUACCUGGAGAAUAAGCACCGGCUAACUACGUGCCAGCAGCCGCGGUAAUACGUAGGGUGCAAGCGUUGUCCGGAUUUAUUGGGUUUAAAGGGUGCGUAGGCGGGCUAUUAAGUCAGUGGUGAAAUCCAGCAGCUUAACUGUUGAUGUGCCAUUGAUACUGGUAGCCUUGAGUACAGAUGAGGUAGGCGGAAUUGACAGUGUAGCGGUGAAAUGCAUAGAUAUUGUCAAGAACUCCGAUAGCGAAGGCAGCUUACUGGGCUGUAACUGACGCUGAUGCACGAAAGUGUGGGGAUCAAACAGGAUUAGAUACCCUAGUAGUCC